rnacentral:rRNA from 1 species
CUCCUACGGGAGGCAGCAGUGGGGAAUUUUGGGACAAUGGGGGCAACCCUGAUCCAGCCAUGCCGCGUGAGUGAAGAAGGCCUUCGGGUUGUAAAGCUCUUUCGGCAGGGAAGAUAAUGACGGUACCUGCAGAAGCAGCUGCGGCUAACUACGUGCCAGCAGCCGCGGUAAUUC